GUAUGUUAAACGAGAAGACUUUAGAUAUGAUCCAGAGUACCACGGGACACGUGAAACCCUGUGGGAAGCAGGAGGGACCACCCUCCAAGGCUAAAUACUACCUAGUGACCGAUAGCGUAUAGUACCGUGAGGGAAAGGUGAAAAGAACCCCGGGAGGGGAGUGAAAUAGAACCUGAAACCCUGCACUUACAAGCUGUGGAAGCACAUUUCUUGUGUGACCGCGUACUUUUUGUAGAACGGGCCAACGAGUUACGUUAAGUAGCAAGGUUAAGCACUUAAGGUGCGGAGCCGUAGCGAAAGCGAGUUUUAACUGAGCGUUCAGUUACUUGACGUAGACCCGAAACCGGGCGACCUACCCAUGAGCAGGAUGAAGCGAAAGUAAAAUUUCGUGGAGGUCCGAACCCACGAGCGUUGAAAAGCUCGGGGAUGACUUGUGGGUAGCGGUGAAAUUCCAAUCGAGCCCGGAGAUAGCUGGUUCUCCCCGAAAUAGCUUUAGGGCUAGCCUCAAGGUGAGAGAUACGGAGGUAGAGCACUGAAUGUCCUAGGGGGUAUUGCACCUACCGAAGACUAUCAAACUCCGAAUGCCGUCAUCUUAUACUUGGGAGUCAGACUGUGGGUGAUAAGAUUCAUAGUCGAAAGGGCAACAGCCCAGAUCGUCAGCUAAGGUCCCUAAAUGUAAGUUAAGUGGUAAAGGAUGUGGGAUUGCACAGACAACCAGGAUGUUGGCUUAGAAGCAGCCACUCAUUCAAAGAGUGCGUAAUAGCUCACUGGUCGAGUGAUCCUGCGCCGAAGAUUUCCGGGGCUAAAACUUACUACCGAAGCUACGGCAUCAGUAAUGAUGGGUAGGGGAGCUUCCCAUACGGGUUGAAGCAUGACCGUAAGGACAUGUGGACAGUAUGGGAGUGAGAAUGUUGGCA
rnacentral:rRNA from 1 species